rnacentral:rRNA from 1 species
AUUGAACGCUGGCGGCAUGCCUUACACAUGCAAGUCGAACGGUAACGCGGGGCAACCUGGCGACGAGUGGCGAACGGGUGAGUAAUAUAUCGGAACGUGCCCAAUAGUGGGGGAUAGCCCGGCGAAAGCCGGAUUAAUACCGCAUACGACCUGAGGGUGAAAGCGGGGGAUCGCAAGACCUCGCGCUAUUGGAGCGGCCGAUAUCAGAUUAGGUAGUUGGUGGGGUAAAGGCCUACCAAGCCUACGAUCUGUAGCUGGUCUGAGAGGACGACCAGCCACACUGGGACUGAGACACGGCCCAGACUCCUACGGGAGGCAGCAGUGGGGAAUUUUGGACAAUGGGCGCAAGCCUGAUCCAGCCAUGCCGCGUGCGGGAAGAAGGGCCUUCGGGUUGUAACG